CAGUUGCGGAUGUGGGCUGAAGUAGUGCUUCGUCUACUGACGCUAGGCUACUGCUGCGGAUCUGGAUGCGUGUUUGU
rnacentral:precursor_RNA from 1 species